UACAGAGGUGGCAAGCGUUGUUCGGAAUUACUGGGCGUAAAGGGCGCGUAGGCGGCCUUCUAAGUCAGACGUGAAAUCCCCAGGCUUAACUUGGGAACUGCGUCCGAGACUGGCAGGCUCGAAUCCGGGAGAGGGAUGUGGAAUUCCAGGUGUGAGCGGUGAAAUGCGUAGAUAUCUGGAGGAACACCGGUGGCGAAGGCGGCAUCCUGGACCGGUAUUGACGCUGAGGCGCGAAAGCCAGGGGAGCAACGGGAU
rnacentral:rRNA from 1 species